rnacentral:rRNA from 1 species
UACGUAGGGGGCAAGCGUUGUCCGGAAUGAUUGGGCGUAAAGGGCUCGUAGGUGGCCUGUCAAGUCUGGAGUGAAAGUCCUAUUUUUAAGGUGGGAGUUGCUUUGGAAACUGAUAGGCUUGAGUGUAGGAGUGGUUAGUGGAAUUCCUAGUGUAGCGGUGAAAUGCGUAGAGAUUAGGAGGAACAUCAGUGGCGAAGGCGACUAACUGGACUAAAACUGACACUGAGGAGCGAAAGUGUGGGUAGCAAAC